rnacentral:rRNA from 1 species
UACGUAGGUGGCAAGCGAUACUCGGAAUCACUAGGCGUAAAGCGCAGGUAGGAGGUUUGGUAAGUCUGUUGUGAAAGCUCCCGGCUUAACUGGGAGAGGUCAACGGAAACUACUAGGCUAGAGUGCGGUAGAGGUAGCUGGAAUUCCCGGUGUAGCGGUGAAAUGCGUAGAUAUCGGGAGGAAUACCUAUGGCGAAAGCAGGCUACUGGACCGUCACUGACCCUGAUCUGCGAAAGCUAGGGGAGCAAACAGG